UACGUAGGGUGCGAGCGUUGUCCGGAAUUAUUGGGCGUAAAGGGCUCGUAGGCGGUUUGUCGCGUCGGGAGUGAAAACCCAGGGCUUAACCCUGGGCUGGCUUCCGAUACGGGCAGACUAGAGGUAUGCAGGGGAGAACGGAAUUCCUGGUGUAGCGGUGAAAUGCGCAGAUAUCAGGAGGAACACCAGUGGCGAAGGCGGAGACCUGGGCCGAUACUGACGCUGAGGUGCGAAAGCGUGGGGAGCAAACAGG
rnacentral:rRNA from 1 species